rnacentral:rRNA from 1 species
GAUGAACGCUGGCGGCGUGCCUAAUACAUGCAAGUCGAGCGAACGGACGAGAAGCUUGCUUCUCUGAUGUUAGCGGCGGACGGGUGAGUAACACGUGGAUAACCUACCUAUAAGACUGGGAUAACUUCGGGAAACCGGAGCUAAUACCGGAUAAUAUUUUGAACCGCAUGGUUCAAAAGUGAAAGACGGUCUUGCUGUCACUUAUAGAUGGAUCCGCGCUGCAUUAGCUAGUUGGUAAGGUAACGGCUUACCAAGGCAACGAUGCAUCGCCGACCUGAGAGGGUGAGCGGCCACACUGGAACUGAGACACGGUCCAGACUCCUACGGGAGGCAGCAGUAGGGAAUCUUCCGCAAUGGGCGAAAGCCUGACGGAGCAACGCCGCGUGAGUGAUGAAGGUCUUCGGAUCGUAAAACUCUGUUAUUAGGGAAGAACAUAUGUGUAAGUAACUGUGCACAGCUUGACGGUACCUAAUCAGAAGGCCACGGCUAGCUACGUG